UAAGUGUAUAGCUUAGUGGUAAAGCAUUAGACUUUUAAUCUAAAUAUCUCAAGUUCAAAUCCUGAUACACUUAU
rnacentral:tRNA from 1 species